CCUACGGGAGACAGCAGUGGGGAAUAUUGGGCAAUGGGCGCAAGCCUGACCCAGCAACGCCGCGUGAAGGAAGAAGGCUUUCGGGUUGUAAACUUCUUUUGUCAGGGACGAAGCCAGUGACGGUACCUGACGAAUAAGCCACGGCUAACUACGUGCCAGCAGCCGUGGUAAUACGUAGGUGGCAAGCGUUAUCCGGAUUUACUGGGUGUAAAGGGCGUGUAGGCGGGACUGCAAGUCAGAUGUGAAAACCGGGGGCUCAACCCCCGAACUGCAUUUGAAACUGUUGGUCUUGAGUAUCGGAGAGGCAGGCGGAAUUCCUAGUGUAGCGGUGAAAUGCGGAGAUAUUAGGAGGAACACCAGUGGCGAAGGCGGCCUGCUGGACGACAACUGACGGUGAGGCGCGAAAGCGUGGGGAGCAAACAGGAUUAGAUACCCCAGUAGUC
rnacentral:rRNA from 1 species